AAUUAUGGUGGACUGGACAAGGCAGCCUUGGCUGGCCGUAUCGUGAGUGCGGUAUUCCUACACCUUGUUCUAGUUCACCACCCAG
rfam:Vibrio mangrovi strain CECT 7927 genome assembly, contig: 0008